rnacentral:ncRNA from 1 species
CUACACCUCUACAGUGCACUACAAUGAUGGACCGCUCGUAGCGGUACUGACGUGCAAAUCGUUCGUCAUACGUGGGUAUAGGGGCGAAAGACUAGUCGA